CGGCGCGAUGCGAGCGUACAGCCAGAUGGAAAUCCUUCGGGAAUCGUGAAUAAAAGAGGAGACGAAGCGUAUAUGCGCAUUGGAGCUGUGAAAACGAAUAUUAUCAGGAGAAGGCCUGUAACCGGUUGACACGAAGAUUGAACGAACUUAAUCAACGACAGGGAGAAUGAAGCUCUCCUUCUAAUGGGACGCAAUUUCUUCUUGAUUUCCUUGAAGCUUCAGAAGUUUGAAAUUAAAGAUGGAUAUUGCUAUCCGCUGAGAAGGGUGUAAACAAGAUGACCCGAAGGCUGAAAGAAAUUAGUUGUUGCCAGGUGUUACAUGAAGCACAUUAAAAAUGGAAUACACUGCGUUAUUGAUAAAACUUGGAUGCAACGAGGAAAGGAAAUUCUGGGUAUAAAUCGUGCUAAUCACCUAAAUUUCAUACGUUUCAAUGAUCUUGACCUCUAUAAGCCUUUUAGAAACAUAACUUAUGAUCAUUUAGAUCAAUAAUUAGCCCUUCCAGACUUUCUCCCAGUAUCAGGAUCAAAAUAACUUCUGAUUCUUGGAAUUCCAUGAUAUCUUUUUACUUACUUAUACUUGGAAACGAUGGGACAAGGGGUAACGCGUUCAAAGAGCGUAUAAUUCUUUGUGAAGAAGGAACGAGAUGAUGAAAAACGGAAGGAAAAGUGUGGACGGAGAGUGUUUGAAGAGGAGGCAAGGUGGUUGAAAGAAUCCGAAGAAUAUAAAAUCAAUUGGGUUUGAACAGCUGUCCAAAGGUAGUACGGAAUUGUCUGGACAUGGAACAGUAAAGGAUGAAGUUGAUUGCCCCAUUCAAUAAAGCCAGG